AUUGAACGCUGGCGGCAGGCCUAACACAUGCAAGUCGAACGAGUGGCGGACGGGUGAGUAAUGUCUGGGAAACUGCCUGAUGGAGGGGGGUAACUCCUGGAAACGGGAGCUAAUACCGCAUACCAACAGCUGUGCCCAGAUGGGAUUAGCUUGUGGGUGGGGUAACGGCUCACCAAGGCGACGAUCCCUCGCUAGGCUGAGAGGAUGACCAGCCACACUGGAACUGAGACCAGGUCCAUACCCCGACGGGAGGCAGCAGUGGGGAAUAUUGCACAAUGGGCUCAAGCCUGAUGCAGCCAUGCCGCGUGUCUGAAGAAGGCCUUCGGGUUGGAAAGUACUUUCAGCGGGGAGGCGUUACCCGCAGAAGAAGCACCGGCUAACUCCGUGCCAGCAGCCGCGGUAAUUC
rnacentral:rRNA from 1 species